rnacentral:tRNA from 1 species
UAGGGCGUCGCCAAGUGGUAAGGCAGCGGACUUUGAAUCCGCCAUUCGUAGGUUCGAAUCCUACCGCCCUAG